CCUACGGGGGGCAGCAGUCGAGAAUCAUUCACAAUGGGGGAAACCCUGAUGGUGCGACGCCGCGUGGGGGACUGAAGGUCUUCGGAUUGUAAACCCCUGUUAUGUGGGAGCAAAUUAAAAAGAUAGUACCACAAGAGGAAGAGACGGCUAACUCUGUGCCAGCAGCUGCGGUACUACAGAGGUAUCAAGCUGUGUUCGGCAUCACUGGGCGUAAAGUGUGCGUAGGCUGUUUCGUAAGUCGUGUGUGAAAGGCGCGGGCUCAACCCGCGGACGGCACAUGAUACUGCGAGACUAGAGUAAUGGAGGGGGAAGCGGAAGGCGCGGUGUAGCAGUGAAAUGCGUAGAUAUCGAGAGGAACACUCGUGGCGAAGGCGGGUUCCUGGACAUUAACUGACGCUGAGGCACGAAGGCCAGGGGAGCGAAAGGGAUUAGAUACCCUAGUAGUC
rnacentral:rRNA from 1 species